rnacentral:rRNA from 1 species
AACGAACGCUGGCGGCAGGCUUAACACAUGCAAGUCGAGCGCCCCGCCAGGGGAGCGGCAGACGGGUGAGUAACGCGUGGGAACGUACCUUUUGGUUCGGAACAACUCCGGGAAACUGGAGCUAAUACCGGAUAAGCCCUAACGGGGAAAGAUUUAUCGCCGAACGAUCGGCCCGCGUCUGAUUAGCUAGUUGGUGAGGUAACGGCUCACCAAGGCGACGAUCAGUAGCUGGUCUGAGAGGAUGAUCAGCCACACUGGGACUGAGACACGGCCCAGACUCCUACGGGAGGCAGCAGUGGGGAAUAUUGGACAAUGGGCGCAAGCCUGAUCCAGCCAUGCCGCGUGAGUGAUGAAGGCCUUAGGGUUGUAAAGCUCUUUUGUCCGGGAAGAUAAUGACUGUACCGGAAGAAUAAGCCCCGGCUAACUUCGUG